GCUACUCCAUUUUAAGAUCUAAGGUUCCAUCUUGUAUAACAUACAUUGCAAUAAGUACUGUGCUUGUUUUUCUCCUUCCAUUUAAACUUUGUGGUUUUGUCAUAGAUACAAAUAGAUUAUGUUGAGACGGCUAGUUCCGGCACAGACAUCCUUUGUGCAAGUAACUUGUAAGAAUGAAACUUGUUAAAGAGGAACAUCUGCAUCUGUAUAAAAUACUGUGACAAAUACAGCAAUUUGCAAUCAUCGAUACAACAUAAGUGUCUGUGUCAUUAUUGUCCCGCCGGCGCAGGGGGUCAUACAUCCACAUGUCCAAGGUCCAGCCUGGGCAACGGAACCAGAACCGAACCUAACAGACUGGUACCAGAAGUGGGGUAUUGAUUGACCGGAUCCAACUCACCCCUUUAUACCUGAGAUGAGGUAUUGGUUAAGCAAUUGGCCGUAAGGAGAAAGACAGGCCCCAUUUACCAAGGUCCAUAUACGGUGAAAAAGGUCCCUUGAAGAUAAAGACCCCAGAAGCCCCGAUGGCUCCCCCCUUGGAGCGAGGGCUCAAGAACAAGGAGGACGCAAAGCUAGAAGCCCUGAUGGCUCCCCCCUUGGAGCGAGGGCUCAAGAACAAGGAGGACGUAAAGCCAGAGACCCUGAUGGCUCCCCCCAUAGAGCAAGGGUCCGGGAAAACCAGCACUUAACUGCCAAUCAGAAUAGAAACUGUAUGGGACAACGGUCAGGGGUGUACAAUAGAAUGAUACGAGGAGGGAAAUAUUGUGGACUGUUGCCUUUACUGUUUGUGGUGACCGCUUUUGGGGUUUGCUACUUCACCCCAGGUUGAUACAUGGGAUACAUGGGAUACAUGGCCAAGGGCCAAAGGCCAAGACCCAAAAUUAGUCAUAGUAAGGAAAAGAUUCAUACCAUUUAGAUGGCGAACCAAAUUUGGUAUAGUGAGUGAUCCCAAGAAAGUAAACAUUCUUUGGGAUCAGAGGAGGGAUGUAAGGAAUGUGAAAUAAUGGAAUAUUAUAUGUCUGACAUUAGCUACUCCAUUUUAAGAUCUAAGGUUCCAUCUUGUAUAACAUACAUUGCAAUAAGUACUGUGCUUGUUUUUCUCCUUCCAUUUAAACUUUGUGGUUUUGUCAUAGAUACAAAUAGAUUAUGUUGAGACGGCUAGUUCCGGCACAGACAUCCUUUGUGCAAGUAACUUGUAAGAAUGAAACUUGUUAAAGAGGAACAUCUGCAUCUGUAUAAAAUACUGUGACAAAUACAGCAAUUUGCAAUCAUCGAUACAACAUAA